UAAUAACCAUAUGAUAAUUAA
ensembl:piRNA 21ur-3088 ncRNA